rnacentral:rRNA from 1 species
AAAGGCGUAAUGAAAGUGAAGGUUCGCCACGCGCGAACCGAGGGAGGACGGACGGUCGAUCGUGGCCGUCCCGCACUCCCUGGGCGUCUCGUUCUCAUCGCGAGAAGAGGCGCACCAAGAGCGUACACGCUGGGACCCGAAAGAUGGUGAACUAUGCCUGGUCAGGACGAAGUCAGGGGAAACCCUGAUGGAGGUCCGUAGCGAUUCUGACGUGCAAAUCGAUCGUCGGAACUGGGUAUAGGGGCGAAAGACUAAUCGAACCAUCUAGUAGCUGGUUCCCUCCGAAGUUUCCCUCAGGAUAGCUGGCGCUCGCUUCUGGCGAGUCUCAUUCGGUAAAGCGAAUGAUUAGAGGCAUUGGGGUCGAAACGGCCUCAACCUAUUCUCAAACUUUAAAUGGGUGAGAUCUCCGGCUUGCUUGAACUGUGAAGCCGCGAGAUAUCGGAUCAGAGUGCCAAGUGGGCCACUUUUGGUAAGCAGAACCGGCGCUGUGGGAUGAACCAAACGCCGAGUUAAAGCGCCUAAAUCGACGCUUAUGGGA